rnacentral:rRNA from 1 species
CGUUAGCGGCGGACGGGUGAGUAACACGUGGGUAACCUACCUAUAAGACUGGGAUAACUUCGGGAAACCGGAGCUAAUACCGGAUAAUAUUUCGAACCGCAUGGUUCGAUAGUGAAAGANGGUUUUGCUAUCACUUAUAGAUGGACCUGCGCCGUAUUAGCUAGUUGGUAAGGUAACGGCUUACCAAGGCGACGAUACGUAGCCGACCUGAGAGGGUGAUCGGCCACACUGGAACUGAGACACGGUCCAGACUCCUACGGGAGGCAGCAGGG